GACGAACGCUGGCGGCGUGCCUAAUACAUGCAAGUCGAGCGCAGAAGGUUGGUGCUUGUUCCUACUGGAUUAGCAGCGAACGGGUGAGUAACACGUGGAGAAUCUGCCUUUGAGCGGGGGACAACAUUGGGAAACGAAUGCUAAUACCGCAUAAAAACUUGAAACACAAGUUUCAAUUGUGAAAGAUGCAAUUGCAUCACUCAAAAAUUAUCCCGCCUCGUAUUAGCUAGUUGGUGAGGUAAAGGCUUACCAAGGCGAUGAUACAUAGCCGACCUGAGAGGGUGAUCGGCCACAUUGGGACUGAGACACGGUCCAAACUCCUACGGGAGGCAGCAGUAGGGAAUCUUCGGCAAUGGACGAAAGUCUGACCGAGCAACGCCGCGUGAGUGAUGAAGGUCUUCGGAUCGUAAAACUCUGUUGGUAGGGAAGAACGAUGGUGAAAGUGGAAAGCCAAUUCAGUAACGGUAACUAUCCAGAAAGCAACGGCUAACUACGU
rnacentral:rRNA from 1 species